CGAGAUGAGUUCUCCCUGACCCUUUAAGGGUCCUGAAGGAACGUUGAAGACGACGACGUUGAUAGGCCGGGUGUGUAAGCGCAGCGAUGCGUUGAGCUAACCGGUACUAAUGAACCGUGAGGCUUAACCUUACAACGCCGAAGGUGUUU
rnacentral:rRNA from 1 species